CAUUUAACUCAGGAGUUUUUCAUUUUGUUACCUACUUUAUUUUUCCCUGUUUGUCUUCCCAAGGUGGUAAUGGAUGAGGAACAUUGAUAACAUCAGGCCAUGAGGCCUGAGGAUCUCUCCAAAGGUUCCUGGAUAUAAUGUUCACUGAGUGCACAUUCACGCCAAAGUUGGUGCUAAAGAAAAAAGUGUGAAAGUGAAGACAAAUCAAAGUGGAAGCUUGCCCAAUACAUGGAGUGGAUGCCCUUCUCAGCCUUUUAGCAGUUAUGCUGAGGCCAGCACAUCCUCCUGAUAAGACUUCUGCUGUUCCAUGAUGGAUCUGCUUUUCCUGGGUGAGGUACACCAGCUGAGGUGCCAACUGCACCUAUUGUCUAAGGACCUUUGGAGAUGAAGAGUGCCCAGGAGCUCACUGAACUCUGGCAAAGAGACCAUCAGAAGCAAUGGCAGUGCUGAGUGUGAUGGAGCAUGCCUUUGACACCUUUAACCCCAGCACUCAGGAGGAAGAGACAAGAAGAUCUCUGAGUUCAAGGAAUGUCCUCAUCUGGAGACAGUCUGUGUUUACAGAGAGAUCCACUUACAUUGCUUACCACCACACUGAGGCUCUGUAAUACAGAAAUUCUGAUAAUCCUUCCCUUGCCUUGUCUUCUCUGCACACCAGACUGUGCAACACCCUCAUCUUUACCCACCAUACACUGUGUGUUUUAGCAGCAAGGGAGGGAUGUGGGGAUCCAAAGAGGUGCACGUUGGAAAAUAAAGAGGAUAAAAAAGAAAAGGGGAAAACCCCAACUCUAAUUAAAAUGUAACAGUCUUUCACUGUCUGUCCCAACG